AGGUGCUGAAGAAGCCUGAGAAUAAGUCGUCCUUGAACCCUGUCCUACAGAAUCUAGGAUUAAGACAAGGAAAAGAAUUCCCGUCUCCGCAGCAGUUUGUUCAGUCUCAAUACUUCUCAGAAAAUGGAGAGGAAGUGGAUCCUAACGCUGAUGCAAUUAAUACCCUGGCCAGCGCUGUUGGGGGAUUUUUUACAGGUGAUGGGCCGGGGGUGAGUUUACUGAAUGGAUUUACUAACUCGUAUCCUCCACCCCAAGCUGGGUAUACACCACCCAGCCAGUUUGUGAGUGUGAAUCAACCUAUACCACUUGCUUCAAUGUCCUCAAUGGGGAUAAUUCCUCCU